rnacentral:rRNA from 1 species
AUUGAACGCUGGCGGCAGGCCUAACACAUGCAAGUCGAACGGUAACAGGAAGAAGCUUGCUUCUUUGCUGACGAGUGGCGGACGGGUGAGUAAUGUCUGGGAAACUGCCUGAUGGAGGGGGAUAACUACUGGAAACGGUAGCUAAUACCGCAUAACGUCGCAAGACCAAAGAGGGGGACCUUCGGGCCUCUUGCCAUCGGAUGUGCCCAGAUGGGAUUAGCUAGUAGGUGGGGUAACGGCUCACCUAGGCGACGAGCCCUAGCUGGUCUGAGAGGAUGACCAGCCACACUGGAACUGAGACACGGUCCAGACUCCUACGGGAGGCAGCAGUGGGGAAUAUUGCACAAUGGGCGCAAGCCUGAUGCAGCCAUGCCGCGUGUAUGAAGAAGGCCUGCGGGUUGUAAAGUACUUUCAGCGGGGAGGAAGGGAGUAAAGUUAAUACCUUUGCUCAUUGACGUUACCCGCAGAAGAAGCACCGGCUAACUCCGU